rnacentral:rRNA from 1 species
AAUCAACGCUGGCGGCGUGCCUAACACAUGCAAGUCGCACGAGAAAGGGUCUUCGGAUCUGGGUAAAGUGGCGCACGGGUGAGUAACACGUGAAUUAUCUACCUUCGAGUGGGGAAUAACUUCGGGAAACCGAGGCUAAUACCGCAUAAUAUCUACGGAUCAAAGCAGUAAUGCGCUUGAAGAGGAGUUCGCGGCAGAUUAGUUAGUUGGCGGGGUAAUGGCCCACCAAGACGAUGAUCUGUAGCCGGCCUGAGAGGGCGCACGGACACACUGGAACUGAAACACGGUCCAGACUCCUACGGGAGGCAGCAGUGGGGAAUUUUGCGCAAUGGGGGAAACCCUGACGCAGCAACGCCGCGUGGAGGAUGAAGUCUCUUGGGACGUAAACUCCUUUCGAUAGGGAAGAUUAUGACGGUACCUAUAGAAGAAGCCCCGGCUAACUUCGGGCCAGCCGCCGCCGUAA